GCGACUCUUCUCUUGACUCUGUGAAGCCAAUACACGCCCAGAUACAGACUUCACUGGAGAUUGUGCGCGUGCCUCGAAGCUUCAGUGUCAUUAAAAAAUAACUACUUCUGUGGGUAUUUAGAGCUUUUGUUAACGAUCGUUGCUGUCUAUCGAUUGGGUGAGGUGUAGAAACUAACAACCAUCGAAAUCAGAUUUUUCUGGAAUCUAUAGCAAUAUGAAGAGCACUUUGAAAUUGUUUGAGGUUUUACUACUAAUGUGCGGUGUGUUUGGUGCUGAUGAAGUGAAGCCAGU